CGGUACUCAGUUCGGAUUGAAGGCUGAAAUUCGCCUUCAUGAAGCUGGAAUUGCUAGUAAUGGCAGGUCAGCAUACUGCCGUGAAUACGUUCCCGGGCCUUGUACACACCGCCCGUCACACCAUGAGAGUUGGAAAUAUCCGAAGCCUGUGAGCUAACUUUUAGAGGCAGCAGUCGAAGGUAGAGCCAAUGAUUGGGGUGAAGUCGUAACAAGGUACC
rnacentral:rRNA from 1 species